AGAACGAACGCUGGCGGCAUGCCUAACACAUGCAAGUCGAACGAGACCUUCGGGUCUAGUGGCGCACGGGUGCGUAACGCGUGGGAAUCUGCCCUUAGGUACGGAAUAACAGUGAGAAAUUACUGCUAAUACCGUAUGAUGUCUUCGGACCAAAGAUUUAUCGCCUAGGGAUGAGCCCGCGUUGGAUUAGCUAGUUGGUGGGGUAAAGGCCUACCAAGGCGACGAUCCAUAGCUGGUCUGAGAGGAUGAUCAGCCACACUGGGACUGAGACACGGCCCAGACUCCUACGGGAGGCAGCAGUGGGGAAUAUUGGACAAUGGGCGCAAGCCUGAUGCAGCAACGCCGCGUGAGGGACGACGGCCUUCGGGUUGUAAACCUCUUUUAGUAGGGAAGAAGCGAAGUGUUUUACAUGGAGUGACGGUACUGCAGAAAAGCACCGGCUAACUACGUGCCAGCAGCCGC
rnacentral:rRNA from 1 species